rnacentral:rRNA from 1 species
GCACUUUGCCAACUCGUAAGAGGAAGUAUAAGGUGUGACGCCUGCCCGGUGCUCGAAGGUUAAGAGGAUGCGUCAGUCGCAAGAUGAAGCGUUGAAUUGAAGCCCGAGUAAACGGCGGCCGUAACUAUAACGGUCCUAAGGUAGCGAAAUUCCUUGUCGGUUAAAUACCGACCUGCAUGAAUGGCGUAACGAGAUGGGAGCUGUCUCAACCAGAGAUUCAGUGAAAUUGUAGUGGAGGUGAAAAUUCCUCCUACCCGCGGCAAGACGGAAAGACCCCGUGGACCUUUACUACAACUUAGCACUGCUAAUGGGAAUAUCAUGCGCAGGAUAGGUGGGAGGCUUUGAAGUAAGGGCUUUGGCUCUUCGAUGGAGCCAUCCUGAGAUACCACCCUUGUGUUUCUGUUAGCUAACUGGCCUGUGU